GCGGUUGUUGUCUAGCCGUGUCAAACUUCUUGGCGCGGGGCGAUGGGGCUAGGAUUCCAGCCUUCCAAGCUGGUGGCCCGGGUUCAAUUCCCGGCGACCGCACCA
rnacentral:tRNA from 1 species